rnacentral:lncRNA from 1 species
CUUUAGAGUCCUGGAGGCCACUAAAAACAAAAGAGAAAAGCUUGCCCCUGCUCCAGGCAACCAACACAUGGUAUGGUCAGCAGAUUAUGGUACAGCUCAGUGGCUUAUGUCUUAGGAGUCAAAAAGAAGAGUGGAACAGUGGUCCACGUUCUGGCUCUUCAGGAGGCUUCCCAAGGGACUGAUUUCUGCCUCAUGUGAUGCAGAACCCUGAAGAGAUACUGCAUAAUCUAGAAGUCUGGAAGGACCUGAGGUCAUAAUAAAACUGGGAAGCUUGAGGCAGCUCGAUAGAACCUGCACUACCCCAAACAGACACCAGAAAGGACAAGAGAUUAUUAAACCCUUGAAAAAAGAAACUGACAAACCCCUCUAACUGGGAAUUUAUAUGCACAAUUUAGAAAAGACACAUCUGCAGAAAAUGUUUGAGUAUGUACCAAAAUCUCCAGCCCAGCUGACUAGUGAAGGUGUUUCCAUGGAUAAAACCCAUCCAUAAAAACAAGAUAAAUGGCUACUUUUUCAAAUAUGAAGUUCCCAACACAAAGUUACAAGGCACACAAAAAGAAGCAAAGAAACAUAGUCCUAUCAAAUAAACAAAACAAAUCUCCAGAAAGUGAUCCUAAAGAAACAGAGGUGUAUGAAUUACCUGAUAGUUCAUUAAAAUAGUCAUAAUAAAGAUCAUCAACAAGCCAAGGAAAACAAUAGAUGGACUGAGAUUUCAGGUGCUAAUCUUGUGGCUGGAGACAAUUAGUGGUGUUCUAUGUGGACUAAACCUUACUAGCUUGAAUAUAAAAAUAAUAAUAAUGGAAGGUAGCAUGUUAUUUUGUAUACAUUUUUUGAAAGAAACAUUGAAAUUUGGACAAAUUAAGCAGCCCUUCUUAUCUUCAUUUUGACAAAGUGUUGCUGUAAACCAUGUAUAACAGCUUGCAGGAGCAUAGGCUACUUUGUACAAACAUUAGAAGUACUGAAAAAUAGGCCAGGCACGGUGGCUCACGCCUGUAUUCCCAGCCCUUUGGGAGGCUGAGGCAGGCAGAUCGCCUGAACUCAGGCAUUGGAAACCAGAGUGGGCAACACGGUGAAACCCUG